GGACAGCCUUCUGAAAGGAAGAUUAAUACAAGAUGGCAUCAUGAGUUCACAUGUUCACAUGAUUAAAGGUAUUCCGGUAGACGAUGGGGAUGCGUUCCAUUAGAUAGUAGGCGGGGUAACGGCCCACCUAGUCUUCGAUGGAUAGGGGUUCUGAGAGGAAGGUCCCCCACAUUGGAACUGAGACACGGUCCAAACUCCUACGGGAGGCAGCAGUGAGGAAUAUUGGUCAAUGGGCGCAGGCCUGAACCAGCCAAGUAGCGUGAAGGAUGACUGCCCUAUGGGUUGUAAACUUCUUUUAUAAAGGAAUAAAGUCGGGUAUGUAUACCCGUUUGCAUGUACUUUAUGAAUAAGGAUCGGCUAACUCCGUGCCGGCAGCCGCGGUAAUACGGAGGAUCCGAGCGUUAUCCGGAUUUAUUGGGUUUAAAGGGAGCGUAGAUGGAUGUUUAAGUCAGUUGUGAAAGUUUGCGGCUCAACCGUAAAAUCGCAGUUGAUACUGGAUAUCUUGAGUGCAGUUGAGGCAGGCGGAAUUCGUGGUGUAGCGGUGAAAUGCUUAGAUAUCACGAAGAACUCCGAUUGCGAAGGCAGCCUGCUAAGCUGCAACUGACAUUGAGGCUCGAAAGUGUGGGUAUCAAACAGGAUUAGAUACCCUGGUAGUCCACACGGUAAACGAUGAAUACUCGCUGUUUGCGAUAUACGGCAAGCGGCCAAG
rnacentral:rRNA from 1 species